UACGAAGGGAGCUAGCGUUGUUCGGAAUCACUGGGCGUAAAGCGCACGUAGGCGGAUUUGCCAGUCAGGGGUGAAAUCCCGGGGCUCAACCUCGGAACUGCCUUUGAUACAGCAAGUCUUGAGUUCGAGAGAGGUGGGUGGAAUUCCUAGUGUAGAGGUGAAAUUCGUAGAUAUUAGGAAGAACACCUAUAGCGAAGGCAGCUUACUAGGCUGUAACUGACGCUGAGGCACGAAAGUGUGGGGAUCAAACAGG
rnacentral:rRNA from 1 species